UACGGGGGGGGCAAGCGUUGUUCGGAAUUACUGGGCGUAAAGGGCUCGUAGGCGGCCAACUAAGUCAGACGUGAAAUCCCUCGGCUUAACCGGGGAACUGCGUCUGAUACUGGAUGGCUUGAGUUUGGGAGAGGGAUGCGGAAUUCCGGGUGGAGUGGUGAAAUGCGUAGAGAUCCGGAGGAACACCAGAGGCGAAAGCGGCGCUCUGGGCUGCACCUGACGCUGAACUGCGAAAGCCAGGGGAGCGAACGGG
rnacentral:rRNA from 1 species